AGCGGAGCGUUUGGAGGAGUGGCCAGGUGUAAAAUAGCAAAGAGGGAUAGGAAAGCUUCCCCAUCUUGUGCGUGGAAGUCUACUAGUGCGUGCACGGGGGAUACGCUCUGCGCACUCAAGAUGGAUAAAAAUAUAAUAUAAAAAUAUUAAGAAGAGAGGAUGCAAGGCUGAGGGAUCUAUAAUAGCAGAGAAAAUCACCCUGCAUUGAGGACGCUUUAAUGCGGGAUUUCUCAACCUCAAAAACUUCUACUCUCAGAAUUCCCCAGCAUGAACACUGGUUGGGAAAUUUGGGGGAUUCUCUUUAUGAGGUCCACACAUCAUAAAGUUGUUAAGGUUGAGAAACCCUGCUUUAAUACAAGAAACUCUUAUGUCUCCAUCACACCCCAGAAACUCUUGCCAUUCAUCUGCUACAGUAUUUCACUUAAAAAUACCAGAUCUGUUUUCAGAGCCUUUUAAGUCGCAGCCAGGAAAUCAAGUUUUUUUUUUAAAAAAAUGCUGUUGAGUGAGUGCAAAGUUUAUCCCAUCAUUACAAAUUGAAGGUAGCUUUCCCUUUCCUCAAAGGAAAUUAAGGUACAGCUUUGAAGGCAAAGGUCCAGCCUUUUAUGCCACUGGAAAUGCAGAGUCUCUGCCUUGAUGGAAGGAUAUCAUGCAGGAUGGAUAUUAUAUAGCCCUCCUUUUCUUUGUUUGUGAACCUGUGGGUGAGAGAAUCUGGAAAUCGAUUCUACAUCUGACAGAUACUCCAGUUGAGAAAAGUAUCAUUAUCUCAGUAAUUGGAUUAGCAGAAGCUUAAUUUGAUGCCAGGAGAAAAUGUGAGUUACAAACCUUCCUUGUCAGAAAGAUGUUAUCAAGAGAAGAACCUGAGCAGAUGGUGGCCGAGGGACCUCCUCUGAAACUGGAGCACGACAGAGUGGGAGCUGGCAAUUUCACACUGUUACUUCCUGCCAAACCGAGCCCCAUCUCCUCAAGCGAGGGCCAGCAACCAUACAAGUGCAUGGAGUGUGGGAAGGGCUUUAGCCAGAGUUCAUACUUGAUGCGCCACCUAGAGACACACUCAGGAGAGAAAUCUUACUAGUGUACAGCCUGCCCCAAGGCCUUCACACAGUUGUCAAACCUGCAGCAGCACCAGUGAAAGCAUACAGUGGAGUGAUCCUUUACCUGUGAUUUAUGCGGCAAAUGCUUUUCCUGGAAUUCCAAUUUGGCUCAGCACCAGUGCUUCCAUAUGGGCCAAAAGCUUUAUGCUUGCACAUAGUGCAGCAAAUGUUUUUGUGAGAGAGCUCAGCUUCUGGAGUACCAUGCACCCAUACAUGUGAAAGGCCCUAUGCUUGCUCCCAGUGUUGGAAACACUUCAGCCGCAGCUCUCACCUGUUAUAUCACCAGCGCCUCCACAAUGAUCAGAAGCCUUGUAUUUGCAUCUCUGUAACAGCGCUCAGCUCCUGGAGCAUUAGCGCCCCCAUACGGGAGAGCAGCCCUAUGUCUGUCCACAGUGUCAGAAAUGCUUCAGAAACACCUACCACCAGUGCCUCCACGCUGCCAUUAUGGAAAGAUAGGAGGAGGAUUGAAAGGCUCUUCUUUCCACUUGCCCCACUCUACUCCCUGCAAGUAGCCUUUACUAACUAGUGGAACAGCCUGGUCAAAUAGGGGGAGGUGCUUUACAAGCGUUUCUCUUUUAUUCCUUAAUCACUGGAACUGUGGGAUUUCUAGUUAACCGUAAGCUUUACAAGCUUUACCUUGCAGUAAAUAUUUACCUUGCGGGCGGCUUUCUACUUGUGUUUUCAAAAUAUAGCGGAAGACAAAGAGGAAGAUCUGGGGCAAGUGAUGGCAAAGAUGAUUGCGGAAGCCCUGCAACAAGAUAAGCAGCAAAUAAUAAGGGAGCUGGAUGAAGUUUACCGAGUGCAGACCAGUUACGCUUAAGAAGGAACAAGCUGCCAAGAGAGGUCCACAUCAGGUUUGCUAGGAAGAAAGUCAGAGACAUACUGUAUAAUGUUAUGAGGGAGGAACAGAUGAUAUAUAAGGGCAAGGAAGUAACAACAUUGAAACAAGUUCCCAGAAGGGUUAGGGAACUAAGAAGGGACUAUCGAUUUCUAGCCAUGCAAUUAACCAAGAGAAAUAUUUUAUUUAGAUGGAUUCCUGCAGGAAGGCAUGAUAAUUACAUGGCUAGGGAAGAAAAUCAAGAUUGACAGCUUAGUAAUCGCACAAGAUUUUCUUGAUCAGCUAGUGGGGAUGGAGGAAGAGUAGAGCAGUAAAGAAGACACCGAAGCAGCAGCUCAAGAAGAGGAAAUACAUUCUCAACAGGAACCCAAGGAAGAAUCUCUGGAAAAGAAAGAAUUAGAAGAAAAAGAAAGCAAAGACACAAAAGAAAAGAAACCCAAGAACCCAAAGAGUUACACGAGCAAAUAAAAUCUAAAGUCGCCCAGGAGAAUUGUAUAUGGAAGAUUGGAAAUUAAUAUCAAUUAAUGUUAACGGAUUAAAUGAGAGUAGAAAAAGAAAACAAAUAUUUACAAAACUAGUUAAACAAAAUGCCGAUAUUAUAUGCCUUCAAGAAGUCCACAUACGUAAACAGGAUGAAAGAUAUUUAGAAUAUAAUAAAUUAGGGAAGGCCUUCACUUCACUAGCGGAAAAAAAAAGAGGGGGGUAGUAAUAUACGUUAAGGUAAUUGCGGGAAAAAAUAUGCCGACUCAAAAGGGAGGACGUUAAUGAUUGAGAUAAAAAGAGAUAACUUAUUAAUAUUAUUGAUAGCUAUAUAUGCUCCAAACAAAAACCAGGGAAAUUAUUAUAAAAAACUUGAUGAACAAAUAAGUAAAAUGGAACAUAGCAAAAUUUGUAUUGUGGGUGAUUUUAAUGGGAUUGUUGACCAUGACAAAGACUAUAGGAGCGGCAAAGUGGAAAAAAGGGAAGCCCUACCUAAAUCGUUUUUUGACUUAGUGGAGGAAAUGAACUUAAUAGAUAUUUGGCAGACCCUGCACCCAAAUGAGAGACAAUUUAUCUUUUACUCGAACCCGCAAAUAUCCUGGUCUAGAAUAGACAUGUGGAUCACCAAACAAUUGGGAUUAGAAAUAGAUACGGCGGAAAUUACACCUAAUAUAUAGGCAGAUCACAACCCCCUAGAAAUUAGGUGGAGGGCCUUACAGAGGAAAAAAAGGAGGAGAUGGAGAUUAAAUACACAACUUCUGAGAGAUAAAGAUUUCAUAGAUAAAAUUAGGGGAGAACUAAAACUAUUCUUCAAAGAAAAUGAUAAUCAAGAAACAUCCCGAGUUAAUGUAUGGGACACAAUGAAGGCAUAUUUAAGAGGGAUAAUGAUAUAUAACACAUAUAAGAACAACAACAACAACAACAAAAAACCGGAAGGCACAAGAUGCCUUCCAGGAAGAAUUGGGGAAAGUGGAAAAGAAGAUGCAGCAAAACCCGGGAGACAAAGUGACGAAAGAGAAUUGGAUAAUGUUAAGACAUAAAUGGAACAUAUUAGAGCAGGAGGAAUUGGCUUACAAAAUUAAACAAUCAAAGCAAUACUACUUUGAAAACGCCAACAAGCCGGGCAGAUGGUUGUUGUAUAAAUUAAAGAAAGAAAACGAGAAACGGAGUAUCCACCAAUUGGAAGAUAAGGGAAAGCUGCAAAAUAAAGAAGAAGCUAAGCUUGAAAUUGCUUGUGAAUACUACAUGGAACUCUAUAAAGAAGAAGAAGUUUCUAGAGAAAGUAUUGCCCAGUACCUCUCAGAAGAUGAACUUGUACUGAUAAGAGAAGAGGAAAGGGAAGUGUUAAAUAGAGAGGUUACAAUGGAAGAAUUAAAGAGGGCAACUUCCAGACUAAAAAAUAAUAAAUCACCAGGUUCAGAUGGUCUCCCAGGAGAAUUAUAUAAAAAAUUGGAGGAUAUACUACUACCAAAAUUAUUGGAGAUUUAUAAUGAAGCCCUACUGGAUGCCAAAAUACCUGAUUCGUGGAGAGAAGCAUACAUCACAUUGCUACCAAAAGAAGGUAUCGACCCAAAACAAAUAAAAAAUUAUAGGCCAAUUUCACUUUUAAAUUUGGAUUAUAAAAUUUUCAUGAGCAUGGUGGCGGAAAGAUUGAAAACUAUUAAAUGUCCUAAUACACACAGAACGGUUUCCUCCCUGGCAGACAAAUAAGAAACAAUUUAAGAAUAGUGAUUGACACUCUAGAAUACUACAAGGCCCAUCCCAAAAAGCAAAUGGCCCUAGUCUUUUUAGAUGCCCAAAAAGCGUUCGAUAAUUUAAAUUGGGAUUUUAUGAUUAAACAAAUUAAAAUAAUGAAAUUGGGAAUGAAUUUUGAGAAAAUGAUAAAAACAAUUUAUAAUAAACAAAGGGCAAAUAUAAUAUUAAAUGGAGAUAUGACUAAACCAUUCCAGAUUAAGAAGGGGGUAAGACAAGGAUGCCCCCUAUCACCAUUAUUAUUUAUUAUGGCCUUAGAAGUAUUGUUAAGUAGGAUUAGAAAAAACAAUGAAAUAAAAGGGCUGAAGAUUAGGAAUGAGGAAUAUAAAAUGCAGGCAUUCGCCGAUGACGUAGUGUAGAUUGUGUAAGAGCCAUUGGAAUCUGGCAAAAAAAUCUUGCAUGAAUUAGGCAUGUAUGGGGAGAUGUCUGGAUUUAAGUUGAACAAAGAAAAAGCAAAGAUGUUGGUAAAGCAUUUGUGGGAAUCAGGUGGCCAUAGUAUAUGUGUAGAUCGGCCUAGCUGGUUGGACACAUGUACGGAGCUUGGCACCGAAAUAAUCUGAAUAGGAAAAGCGGGUCCAGCUGGAUGACUAUUAGAGAGGCCCUAUUUAGAAUGGAGGCUGUGUUUGCUGCAAGGCAUAGACAUCUCCUUGUAGAACAUUCCUGAGGACUGAGGUAACCUCUGAUAACAGGGAGAUGGGCCUCUCGGCUGGCAGAAGAAUAUGCUGGGAACGAAGCCAAAUAUGAUAACGUAGCAGAGUUAAAUUUUGUUUUUACCUUAGGUAUCGCUUUCCUAGAAUUCACGUGAUUUACUGUAAUAUUGUAGAAUGUGAAACCUAUAUGGAGAAUAUAUGGAUGCUUUCCUUUUUCAUGUGUGUAAUAUGAGAUGUGUAGCCAUAAUAACGCCUUUUGAUGACGCUGUACUUUGAUUACUAAUAAAAGAGAUUGCGGGGCUUUGUGCUUUGUUCUCUCAUCCCGAGAAACAUUUGUGCCUGUGUUUUCUCUAAUCUGGACUACUCAUGAGGAGCCCACCAGGAUGAUCGCAACAUAUGGUGACCCCGACGUGAUUCACGGAUCGAGCACGUCUCUUGGCACCCUCAUACUCAUUCAGCUGGAAGCCUCUGCAAACCAGGGCCGGGGUCGUCUGCGGACGAAGCACCCUCCCAUAAAUAGUGAGUAUGGGGGCAGAAUACUCUAAGCCUCAGGUCGCGCACCUCCACAAACUUAGGGAAUUGGCCAAGUCCUCAAUCAUUGUUUAAAAAGAUAACGGAAAAGUCCUGCCCGUGAUAUCAAGAAAAGGAAUGUGAUUUACCUUCUAAAAUACAUUUGGCAACAUUAUCCGGCUUAUCCGGAAAAGGGCUCUUUAAAAGUGAAAACGUGGAGACAGAUGGGAACCUGCUUCCACAAACCUCCCGGAGCCCUGGAAAAAUUCUUGCACUCUGGAGAUUAGUUAUAGAGUGUUUAAUGAUGCAUGAGAAAGUUUUCAGGACACUGAUAAGUUUCCCGACAAGCCAUCCACCUGAUUAUAAAGUUAAAAUUGUUACCUCAAAACCAUCUUUAAUUGAACUAUCAGUUCCUUCUGAAGGAGCUGGUUACACCCCCAUUAAAGAAACAGUUAGAAAAAAAGGAGGGGGUGGAAUAUAGAAGAAAUUCCUGAAAUGCUUUCUGUCUGUCUACCGGCUGCAACUUUGCAAGUUUCUUCUGAAUGUGCUUAUCAAGCCUUCAGAAAAGUGCCUGUUUCUGGAAGCGUCAACAAGCCUUCUCUAACAUAAGGAAAAAAGCUAAAGAGAAGGCCACUUAAAAGCAAUUGUUGGGCUGGGAAAAGAUCUUGAUUUGGCAGAUAUGAUUAAAGUGUCAGGAUAUAGGAACAUCGUAUAAAACCAAUUUGUUAGCACUGCUUUAUCACCAGGCAGCAAACCUCAAGAAAAGUGUUAAAAAUCCGGGGGGGGGGCAUGUCUGUAACAUCUCGCCCUCUCUUUCAUCAGGGAUAAAAAACCCUGGUUAUCAUCAUAUAGAUGACAUUUAAUUGGAGCACAAAAAAAAUACAACCUAAUUGGCUUUUUGAAAUACAAAAUGAUUUAUGUGUAAAUGAAUUGCACAUUGCCCCAGAAAAAAUACAGCUGUACGCUUCUUAUCUGUAUUUAGGGCAUAAACUAUUGCAACCUUUUUCUACUCCGGCUUUUCCUUGUUUAAAGUUACCCAAAGUUAUUUCCUUAGUAAAUUUGCAACAAUUACUGGGUACUAUUAAUUGGGUCCGCUCAUAUUUUUCUUUACCUACGCAUUUACUUAGUCCAUUAUUUGAGUUAUUGACUAAAAGUAAAAAGCCAGGAGAUUUAAUUAUAGUUCCAUCUGUAGUGUUUGCUACAGUUGAGAAAAUUAAUAAUCUUGAGUAUUCAGUUUGUGGAUUGGAUCCCUCAUAGAAAUUGUCAGUUAAUAUUUCCUGCUAGUAAGCUACCCACAGGAGUAUUGGCUGCUUUAGAACAGUAAAAAGUAUAUUGUAUUGAAUGGCUUUAUUUGUCUCAUUACCAUCUAAAAAUGUUUUACCCUUUAUUCAAGCCAUUGCUGAAUUUAUAACCUUGAGGCGUACUCCAGCCUGUCGAAGAAAUGGAACUGAUUUAAUAAAUAUUGUUCUUUCUAUCUCAAAAUCUGACUUUCACUUUUAUCUUCAGAAUAAUUCAUCUCUUCAGUGUGCUCUAACUGACUAUGUAGGCUGUAUUUCAUAUCAUUUGCCUAAAGAUCCUAGGUUUGCUUGCUUAAUGACUUCCUCCAGAGGAGCCAUUGCUUACAAGGAUACUCAUGACGACAUCUGGAAAGAAUCUUACACUAAUUGUCUGCGGCUAUCUUAGCUUUCCACACUUUUUCUCAACAACCUUUUAAUCUGAUCUCUGACUCUCAGUAUGUUUGUCAGACUGAAAGAAGAAAUUGUUUAUUGUCUUCCCACCUGGGGUUAGCAGGUAAUAUAAAGCCUGUCUAAAUGGGAAGGCUCAGAUGAUUUGAUCUGAUCAACUUGAAGUGAUUUCUGUUAAAAAUAUUUUGUUGAUGUGCAUCUAUAAUGAUAGUGUGUAGAACUGAAUGGGGUUGAAUUAAUUAUGAUAUUUUUGGCUGGCCAGCAAAAAUGGAUGAGCUUCGGCUUGAAGCUGUGGAAAGGUGGGCAAUGGUUCGGGCCCAAAAAUCACCAUUGUGAUUAAAACUGCUGCCUGUGUUUUCCACUGUUUUGGGAAUAAGCUAGUUCAUUGGAAUAAUUUUAAUGACUGAUUUGCAUGGAGGACGCAUUAUACAAAAGGUCUGAUUGCAGUACAGAUGUGAAUGGAUGUGUAUGUAGUCAUUUAUUGGAUUGCAUGAAAUGUAAUUUUGUGUAUAAGCAUUUUUUUCCCCUUUCUCUUCCUGUCUUCCCAAGAAAAGGGAGGCUUGUCCGUUUUAAAAAAAAAAAUUUCCUUUCUCUCACCCCCCCUUUUUUUCCCUGGGAGGUGAGAGGCACGAAGAGGGGGGCUAUGGUUUUUGUUCCCUUCACCAUUUUUUUUUCUCUCUGCUGAACCAGCCUGAGAAAGGCGGGGUAAAGGGUGAUAUCUGAUACCUGCCUUUGCAGUUUCAGAGUAUUGACUCAAAAUACCUCAUUUAGACUGUUUGUUUUAUUUUUGAAGCUGUUUUUCUUACUCCUUAAUGUUUUUAUGUCUGCGUGCAUUUUGCAUAUUUAACAGAUGGCACGUUUGUUUGUUUGUUUGUUUGUUUGUUUGUUUGUCCGCAGCAUAAGUUGCUGCCAUUUUAGGAAUUGUCACAGAGAUGAGUUAGAAAUUACAAUAUGUAGAAAGAGAGAUAAAAUACAUAGGACAUUUAAUUAAUGAAAGAAGUAACACCUGAAGGAGUUGAGGAAAUUUCUAGGGUUACUGGAUAUUGUAGGCUGUGAAUAGAUAAUUGUGCUAUUUUGAAUAAAGACUGGUAUGCAAAGAACCCAGUGUUACAGGGAAUGUAAGGGAAUGGCUUUCAGGGUUUUAACCCAGAAGUGGGGAGGGAAGAGAGAGUCAGUAAGGAAAGCAGAAAGUUGACUUUUGGAAGUACAAGGAGAUUUAGAAGGACGAUCAGAUAUUGGUGCUGAGAAGGGGUUGAAUUGUUUAUAGACAUUUAGGUAAGUUGAUUUGCACAGACUUGGGCUGGCUUGGAAGUCAGAAUGGCAAUGGGAGAAGGACUUGAAUCUUUAGUGUUAUAAGGAGAUUUGUUUAUUGGAAGGUUAUAGAUGUUGUGGGUGGCGGAGACAGAGAUUUCCAUCAAAAUAAAAAAGCAUUAGCGAAGCAAUUUGGUCUCACGGCAGCCGAAGCGACUGCCAUCAUACAACAAUGUCCUACCUGUAGUCAACAAGCUCAUUCUAUCCCUAUGGGUGUAAACCCUAGAGGACUCAAAGCUUGUGAAAUUUGGCAAAUGGAUGUAACUCAGUAUCUAUCCUUUGCCCCAUGGAAAUAUUUGCAUGUUUCCUUGGAUACUUAUUCAGGAUUUAUUAUGGCAUCCCCACAAAGGGGAGAAGCAACCAAACAUGUAAUAAAUCAUUGUAUUCGGACCUUUGCAUCGAUGGGACGCCCAAUUGAACUCAAAACUGACAAUGGACCUGCGUAUACCAGUACUGCCUUUGCAGACUUUUGUAACAAGUGGUCCAUCACACACAAAUUUGGCUUAUAAAUUGAAAGAGGAAAAAUGCCUCGGCCUCCCAGCCAUGCAAAACAAACUCAAUCUUUGCUUAUAUACUUUGAACUUUCUUAACCUGACUGGACAGCCUCCCACAUCGGCUGCGACCCGUCAUUUUUCUGCUUCUCCAUCAGCUACCCCAAACCAUAGGUCUAUUUCUGCCAACCACCCGAUCUUGAAUGGAGAGGGCCCGCUGACCUUAUUACCUGGGGCCGUGGAUACGCUGCUGUCCAAUACAACGAUCGCAUCAUUUGGAUCCCCAGAAGACACGUAAGACCAUUUCAUUUACAACAAAAAGAAGGAGAAACCCCUUGUGCUGAGAUUUAAGAAGAAAACACCCUGCUGAGUCCUAUCGGCAACGAACUCUCUACGCACGGUGGUGAUCAUCAGCUUUGUAGGACCACACCGGAAGCUGGUCCCCUGUGCACAGCAGAAGAUUCAUCAGGAGGAAACUACCUUCACAUUGUACAUAUACAUUAUAUUAGCUUUAAUAUAACACUUUCUUACACAUACUAAUGUUAGUAGAAGUUUGGGAGUGGGUUUUGUGGGUAAUUGUUUUUCUAAUUUUGCUAGUAAUUUUGUUUCACACGUAUAAGUGACUAUGAUUUGUUUAUGGCCUUGGACUUUGUUAGCUUUGGGACUCUCAAGUGACCAUGUAAGGAACAUCAAAUCCCCACAUACAUACACUUCAAGUCAAGUACGCUCCCGCCACAAACGCAUUGUCUAUGCACGAGGUCCUUACUUUCUACCUAAGCCUACUCCACCACCUAAGGUUCCCAUAUUGACGUUUCCAGUUGAGGGGGGAAUGAAUAAGGACAAUGGGCCUCUGCAACAAUUGCAUAGAGGAGACUAUAUAUCACAGAUUCUGGAAUUAAGUUACGAUCUUGCAUCUAUUCCCCUACAUCUCAUGAUCCUUCAUGUCAGCAGCCUCUACAUUCAAUCAUGAUGGGACAGUAAUAAAAGACAUUCAAAUAGCUGCUAAUUGGACAAACUCCACUACUCCUAUUUCCCAAACCGCACCCACCACUGACACUGGGUGGCUCAUUAAAAACUCAGAUAUCCAGAGGCAUCUUGCCCAAUCUCGGGUAGCAAUGAACUAUCGGGAUCUUCAUUUAUUAAAUAACUGGACAGUACAUAUGUUCAACGAGACUAUCAAGGUGCUGAAGCUGAUGAACAAAGAACUGGCUGAAAUCAGGGAGGUUUCCCUGAUAAACCAAUAUGCCUUAGAUAUUAUGCUAGUAGCUAAAGGAAGCGUUUGUGCCCUCAUACACUCACAUUGUUGUACCUAUGUAUCUGAUUAUCAGUAUAACAACACUCACACCAUAGAACAUAUGGAAAACUUGAUCAAAAACAAUCCCUUAUCAUCCGAUGGAUCUGGUGCCAUUGACAUCUGGGCUGCCCUUUGGUCAUGGCUCCCGGAUGGUUCUUGGUUGAAAUCAAUUAUGCCAACUAUUGUAUCUAUAAUCGUACUGCUUGUUUUGCUUUGUUGCUGUAUCCAAUGUCUCCCCUCCCUUCUGCAAAUGUGCAAAGGUUUUAUUCCCUCCAAUAGGAAGGACGUCCUGAAAAGUGAAACCAAAGCCCUUCUGGAACUGGAGGAACAAAUCAGGUGUUGUCAGAGAAGGUGCUCGGGACUUGCAAGAUAGGGCUUCCAGAAUAACUCAGAGGUUACAAACUCCUGACAUGUGGUUUUCUUGGGUGCCUGGAUCCGGAUGGAUUUACAAUUUGUGCGAGCGAUUUGUGGAAAUGUAUAACUGGAAUACAACUCAGAAACUUGAUGGCCUACCUCGCUUGACAUCUCCUGGCCACUUUUCCACUAACUUUGUUCACCGUAAUAAAAGGAUGGGUGAGCUACAAACAUUUGCAGAAACCGGAUGGCUGAAGAACAUAUUGUCUACUGUACUCAUGAUCAUUGCUUUGCUUAUUUCUGUAUGUUGUAGUAUUGAAUGUAUUCCUGCUUUGUUUGCUAUGAUGACAAACAUGUUUCCCAGGCAUAAAGAGAACAUCACAAUAACAACACAGCUGAACCCUGUUGCAAAAAAACCCUCAAAAACAGAGGAGAUGUGGGAAUCAGGUGGCCAUAGUAUAUGUGUAGAUCGGCCUAGCUGGUUGGACACAUGUACGGAGCUUGGCACCGAAAUAAUCUGAAUAGGAAAAGCGGGUCCAGCUGGAUGACCAUUAGAGAGGCCCUAUUUAGAAUGGAGGCUGUGUUUGCUGCAAGGCAUAGACAUCUCCUUGUAGAACAUUCCUGAGGACUGAGGUAACCUCUGAUAACGGGGAGAUGGGCCUCUCGGCUGGCAGAAGAAUAUGCUGGGAACGAAGCCAAAUAUGAUAACAUAGCAGAGUUAAGUUUUGUUUUUACCUUAGGUAUCGCUUUCCUAGAAUUCACGUGAUUUACUGUAAUAUUGUAGAAUGUGAAACCUAUAUGGAGAAUAUAUGGAUGCUUUCCUUUUUCAUGUGUGUAAUAUGAGAUGUGUAGCCAUAAUAACUCCUUUUGAUGACGCUGUACUUUGAUUACUAAUAAAAGAGAUUGCGGGGCUUUGUGCUUUGCUCUCUCAUCCCGAGAAA